CAGGGAUCAGAUUCCAGCAGUGGCAGCUGCAACCUAUGCCACAGCUGCAGCAACAUUAGAUCCUUAACACACUGUGCUGGGCCAGGGAUCAAGCAUCCAUCCCAUUGCUCCAGAGAUGCUGCUGAUCCCAUUGUGCCACAAAGGGAACUCCAGUUUUACUUUUUAAAAUGCAAACCAUUAUCCUCCAAGUUCCUGAAAUUGAUGACGAAAAGAAUGAAGGGAUAAAUAAUCCAAGUAUCAGAUUUCAAAAGUAUUUCCUGAUUUUAAAAAAGUGAUAUUCUAAAAUCUUUUUAGGUCAACUAAAUAAUGCAAAACACACAUGGCUUCUCUAUCAAACUUCUUGGUUAAGUAGGCUAGGGAAACUGUUGCAUGGCAAAAAAUGUCAUGUCACUUUCAGAAGUUACAGUGUGAAACUCAAAGCUCGUAACUCUCAGAACACAAAACCUAAAGACAUCUAUCAGUUUGAGGACAGAUUUUCCUACAGUAAUGAGAGUCCCAUUAGCUGGAGCAGAGACUCAAAAUGAAGUCAGUACCUCUGUAUCAUAUCUAUGUUAAGAGACACUGAUGAUAUAAAUUUAUCUAGGUUUAAUAUCGAUUAGCAAGGCUUAUUCAAUUCAAUUAUAAGAAAAAUUUUGGUCAUCUUGAACCCUACAGAAUACCUAGCUUACAGUCUGAGUGUAGUAGGAAUCAACAAAUUUGUUGGAUUGUUGACUUUAUCACCUUGGUUUCCAUGUGAAUAAAGUGACAUGAAGCAUAUAUUGUAAAAACAAUAAUAAUAAAUGGGAAGGAGCCUCUUUGAGAAGGGUCUAUUGAGAGACAGGAAUAAUAAUUUGGUUUAAGUAGGGUUCUAGUAACUCUAUACAAACGUAUUCAAUUAUAUGUGUAAACCAUGUAUUCAAUUAUAUGUGCUAAGAUUUUCAGGCUAAGUAUAAUUUGUAUUUUCACAUAACUUACAGCAGUCAAUCCUUGUAUAAGAGCUAAAGUAGAGCCUCAUAUUUCCAAAGAAAGUAACACCUCAGUUGAAAAAAGGUAUAAAUACUAAUUACCUGUACCAAUACAAGGAGGCUGAUUCAGCCCAAAGACAUAUUUGUGUUUCUAUUGUGCAGUUCUUCAAAGCAAAUUUGAAUGUCACAAGACAAGAGCUCAGUUCUCUGUACACUGCUGCCAACUGUGUUAAACUAAAUUUAAUUUACCUUUUACAUUUUUUGGCUGCUCCCUAAAGCAUUUGGGUGUGAGAUAGUUGAGAAGUGGAGGAUCACUGUGCCCGUUUGGUUAUCUUAUUAAUCCCCAAACCCAUAUAACCUAUAAGCCACAUGGUUAUAGCAAUUUCCUUGGAAUUCACUCUUUGUAAAAUCUGUUGUGGCUAUCAACUGGUUAGGACAUUUCCAUACUUUAAAAAAAAAUAUUAACCAGUCAAAUGUGCAGAGGUUACUUUGAGAGAAUUUAAUAUAAUAAGGAGGUAUAAAACUAGAACAAAAAUCAAAGCAUUCUAAGAAUAGCUGGAAGUCAGCUUUUCCAGUCCACUUCCAAAAUCCCACCCCACCCUCAGCUGCAGAGGUUUUGAGCAUCUCAGGGCAGAUAGUUCUGAAUUCCAAAAUGCUUUAUUCUUAUUUUCUGAGGUUUUAUUUCUAUUAACCCAGUUAAUAGCCUUAAGAUAAACACUGUUUUCCAUGAACUUCCUUAUAGGAAUCUGGACUGUAGAAUUUGAUGUCUCGGGAAAAUCAAGACACAUUGCUUAAUUUAUUAAUAAUGUGAGGUAAAUCAUGUCAUGUCAAUGGGCAAAUUCAAGUCCAAAGAAAGAAAAAAAAAAAAAACCCCACAUAUCUAUCAGUUCUUAUGAUGUGGGUUGCCAAAAGGUGGAUAGUGUAAUUAAAAAGAGGAAGCAGAUGAUUAUAGUGCAAAAUGAGGCUUCAAAAAUCUCAAAAUUUCCUUAGGAUCCAUUUUUGCUCCAGAAAUUAAAUUAUGGAAACCAUGUAUUCAAUUAUAUGUGUUAAGAUUUUCAGGCUAAGUAUAAUUUGUAUUUUCACAUAACUUACAGCACAGACAGAGGGAAAGAUCUUUAUAAAAGUAUAAUAAAUAUAAUAAUGAAAAAUUAUAAAAUUAAAUGAGGUUAUUAAGUUAGAAGGAUCACUGAAUAAAAAUGUGUAUAUAUUUGCUAUGGGAAGGCUCUAUAAAGAGGUACUAUCUGGAAAGCCCUGUUGGCCAUGUAACUUGUCUGGGCAAGAUGAGAUUUAUGCUGAAUUUAAAAAAUGUUGAGUCUAGUUCUUAUUCUUAAAAUCAGAUAAUUCUUUUUUUUUUUUUUUUUAAGGGCCGCAUGCUAGGGAUAGAAUUGGAGCUACAGCUGCUGGCCUAUGCCACAGCCACAGAACAUAGGAUCCAAGUCGAAUCUGUGACCUAAAUCACAGCUUGAGGCAACGCUCGAUCCCCAACCCACUGAGCAAGGCCAGGGAUGGAAACUGCAUCCUCAUGGAUACUAGACAGAUUCGUUUCUACUGUGCCACAACAGGAACUCCUGAAAUCAGAUAAUUCCUGUUCUCGUUUUUUUUUUUUUUUUCAUUUGAAAAAUUUGCUUUGGUUAUUUAAGUCUUUGGAAUUUUCAUAUUGGGUCUAGAAUUGGCAUGUCCAGUUAUACAAAUACCCUUGCUAGAGUUUUGGUUGGGACUUCAUGGACUGGUAGAAUGAUUUCAUGGGAAUUGACAUUUUAACAAUAUUGACUCUUCAAACACUAUUAACAUAGUAUACCUCUAUAUCUAUUUAAACUUUUUCUUUUUUCAGCAGUCAAGACAGUUAGGAUAGACCAAUAGAACAAGAGAAAGAGUAAAGUCUAGAAACUGACACACACCUAUUUAGACAAGUGAUUUUUCAUUAGAAAAGUAUAACCUUUUCAAUGAAUUUUGCUGGAACGGUUGCCUACCCAUAUGAAAAAAUAAAAUUCAUUUCAUAAUUCUCAUUAUACACAAAAAUUGACUCAAAAUGUAUCACAGACCU
rnacentral:lncRNA from 1 species